UACGAAGGGGGGCUAGCGUUGCUCGGAAUUACUGGGCGUAAAGGGCUCGUAGGCGGCCAACUAAGUCGGACGUGAAAUCCCCAGGCUCAACCUGGGAACUGCGUCCGAUACUGGAUGGCUUGAAUUCGGGAGAGGGAUGCAGAAUUCCAGGUGUAGCGGUGAAAUGCGUAGAUAUCUGGAGGAAUACCGGUGGCGAAGGCGGCAUCCUGGACCGACAUUGACGCUGAUGAGCGAAAGCCAGGGGAGCAAACGGG
rnacentral:rRNA from 1 species